rnacentral:rRNA from 1 species
UACGUAGGGGGCAAGCGUUAUCCGGAUUUACUGGGUGUAAAGGGAGCGUAGACGGUGAGACAAGUCUGAAGUGAAAGCCCGGGGCUCAACCCCGGGACUGCAUUUGGAACUGUGCUGCUAGAGUGUCGGAGAGGCAGGCGGAAUUCCUAGUGUAGCGGUGAAAUGCGUAGAUAUUAGGAGGAACACCAGUGGCGAAGGCGGCUUACUGGACUGUAACUGACGUUGAGGCUCGAAAGCGUGGGGAGCAAACAGG